rnacentral:rRNA from 1 species
AAAGGAUAGCUAAUACCCUAUAUUGCCUUUUGUCACUAAGGCAAAAGGUGAAAGCGAGGCUGUCAAAGGCUUCGGCUCAAAGAGGGGUUCGCGUCCUAUCAGGUAGUUGGUGGGGUAAUGGCCUACCAAGCCAAUGACGGGUAGCUGGUCUUAGAGGAUGAUCAGCCACAGUGGGACUGAGACACGGCCCGCACCCCUACGGGGGGCAGCAGUGGGGAAUCGUGGGCAAUGGGCGCAAGCCUGACCCCGCAAUGCCGCGUGAGGGAAGAAGCCCUUCGGGGUGUAAACCUCUGUCAGAUGGGAAGAUGGGACUAGGGGCUAAUACCUCCUGGUCUUGACGGUACCAUCAGAGGAAGGGACGGCUAACUACGUGCCAGCAGCCGCGGUAAUACGUAGGUCCCGAGCGUUGCGCGAUGUUACUGGGCGUAAAGCGUCCGUAGCUGGUUUCGUAAGCGGAUUGUCAAAGCCCGAAGCUCAACUUCGGCAAGGCAUUCCGAACUGCGUUACUUGAGUCCUGUUCAGGUAGGCGGAAUUCCCGGUGUAGCGGUGAAAUGCGUAGAUAUCGGGAGGAACACCAGUGGCGAAGGCGGCCUACUGGGACGGUACUGACGGUCAUGGACGAAAGCUGGGGGAGCAAACCGGAUUAGAUACCCGGGUAGUCCCAGCCGUAAACGAUGGAUGUUAGGUGUAGUGAUAACUUCGCUGCACCCCAGCUAACGCGUUAAACAUCCCGCCUGGGGAGUACGGGCGCAAGCCUGAAACUCAAAGGAAUUGGCGGGGGCCCGCACAACCGGUGGAGCGUCUGGUUUAAUUCGAUGCUAACCGAAAAACCUUACCAGGGUUUGAAAUGGUAGGAAAGGCUGUCGAAAGAUAGCCGUGUUUCCCUUUUGGGAGAAAUCCUACCACAGGUGGUGCAUGGCCGUCGUCAGCUCGUGUUGUGAGAUGUUGGGUUAAGUCCCGCAACGAGCGCAACCCUUGUCCUUAUUUGCUUCCUCGUAUGAGGUGCUCUAUAAGGAGACUGCCGGCGACAAGCCGGAGGAAGGAGGGGACGACGUCAGGUCAGUAUGCCCUUUAUGCUCUGGGCUACACAGGCGCUACAGUGGCAAGGACAAUGAGUAGCAAGAGUGUAAGCUCAAGCUAAUCUCACAAACCUUGUCGUGGUGCGAAUUGAAGGUUGAAACUCACCUUCAUGAAGCCGGAAUCGGUAGUAAUGGCGUAUCAGCUAUGUCGCCGUGAAUACGU